CCACUUUGUGGUUCAUGACUGGGGUGAAGUCGUAACAAGGUAGCCCUAGGGGAACCUGGGGCUGGAUCACCUCCUUA
rnacentral:rRNA from 1 species